rnacentral:rRNA from 1 species
UACGGGGGGGGGCAAGCGUUGUUCGGAAUUACUGGGCGUAAAGCGCAUGUAGGCGGCCACGCAGGUCGGAUGUGAAAUCCCUCGGCUCAACCAAGGAAGUGCAUUCGAAAACCGCAUGGCUCGAGUCCCGGAGAGGGUGGCGGAAUUCUCGGUGUAGAGGUGAAAUUCGUAGAUAUCGAGAGGAACACCGGCGGCGAAAGCGGCCACCUGGACGAGGACUGACGCUGAGAGUGCGAAAAGCGUGGGGAGCAAACAGG